rnacentral:rRNA from 1 species
UACAGAGGUCUCAAGCGUUGUUCGGAUUCAUUGGGCGUAAAGGGUGCGUAGGCGGCGCGGUAAGUCGGGUGUGAAAUCUCGGAGCUUAACUCCGAAACUGCAUUCGAUACUGCCGUGCUUGAGGACUGGAGAGGAGACUGGAAUUUACGGUGUAGCGGUGAAAUGCGUAGAGAUCGUAAGGAAGACCAGUGGCGAAGGCGAGUUUCUGGACAGUUACUGACGCUGAGGCACGAAGGCCAGGGGAGCAAACGGG